AAACCAACAGGGAUUACCUCAGUAACGGCGAGUGAAGCGGUAACAGCCCAAAUUUGAAAUCUGGGUCUUUCAGGCUCCGAGUUGUAAUUUGUAGAAGAUGCUUCGGGUGCGGCUCCGGUCUAAGUUCCUUGGAACAGGACGUCAUAGAGGGUGAGAAUCCCGUAUGUGAUCGGUUGCUUGCGCCCAUGUGAAGCUCUUUCGACGAGUCGAGUUGUUUGGGAAUGCAGCUCAAAAUGGGUGGUAAAUUUCAUCUAAAGCUAAAUAUUGACCAGAGACCGAUAGCGCACAAGUAGAGUGAUCGAAAGAUGAAAAGCACUUUGGAAAGAGAGUUAAACAGUACGUGAAAUUGUUGAAAGGGAAGCGCUUGCAACCAGACUUGCGCGUUGCCGAUCAUCCGGGGUUCUCCCCGGUGCACUCGGCCUCGCUCAGGCCAGCAUCGGUUUUGGUGGUGGGAUAAAGGCCUUGGGAAUGUAGCUCCUUUCGGGGAGUGUUAUAGCCCUCGGUGCAAUGCCGCCUACCGGGACCGAGGACCGCGCUUCGGCUAGGAUGCUGGCGUAAUGGUUGUAAGCGAC
rnacentral:rRNA from 1 species